GCGGGAGUAGUUCAAUUGGUUAGAGCACCGCCCUGUCAAGGCGGAAGUUGCGGGUUCGAGCCCCGUCUCUCGCG
rnacentral:tRNA from 8 species